rnacentral:rRNA from 1 species
UAGGGAAUCUUCCACAAUGGACGCAAGUCUGAUGGAGCAACGCCGCGUGAGUGAAGAAGGCUUUCGGGUCGUAAAACUCUGUUAUUGAAGAAGAACGUGUGUGACAGUAACUGGUCAUGCAGUGACGGUAUUCAAUCAGAAAGUCACGGCUAACUACGUGCCAGCAGCCGCGGUAAUACGUAGGUGGCAAGCGUUGUCCGGAUUUAUUGGGCGUAAAGCGAGUGCAGGCGGUCUUUUAAGUCUGAUGUGAAAGCCUUCGGCUUAACCGAAGAAGGGCAUCGGAAACUGGGAGACUUGAGUGCAGAAGGGGAGAGUGGAACUCCAUGUGUAGCGGUGAAAUGCGUAGAUAUAUGGAAGAACACCAGUGGCGAAGGCGGCUCUCUGGUCUGUAACUGACGCUGAGGCUCGAAAGCGUGGGUAGCAAACAGGAUUAGAUACCCUGGUAGUCCAC